rnacentral:rRNA from 1 species
GGAGUUAAGGACGGGAUGUUGUCCUUGUAACGGGGAUCCAGCAUGGUGGCCACCCAGUAAUCAGCACAAGUUAGAAUGUGGGCAACUCGGCAGUCAUUGCGCAGGCACUUUGGUGACUCUAGAUAACCUCGGGCCGAUCGCAUGUCCCCGUGACGGCGACAACGCAUUCAGAUGUCUGCCCUAUCAACUUUCGAUGGUACUUUCUGCACCUACCAUGGUGACCACGGGUAACGGGGAAUCAGGGUUCGAUUCCA